rnacentral:rRNA from 1 species
GCGAAAGCGGUGGAUUGUUAAGUCAGAUGUGAAAGCCCGGGGCUCAACCUCGGAAUUGCAUUUGAAACUGGCAGACUAGAGUACUGUAGAGGGGGGUAGAAUUUCAGGUGUAGCGGUGAAAUGCGUAGAGAUCUGAAGGAAUACCGGUGGCGAAGGCGGCCCCCUGGACAGAUACUGACACUCAGAUGCGAAAGCGUGGGGAGCAAACAGGAUUAGA